rnacentral:misc_RNA from 1 species
UCCGGUUUGACACCGGCAGUCUCCCUAGAGUUCCCGGCAUGACCCGCUGGCAACUAGGGACAAGGGUUGCGCUCGUUGCGGGACUUAACCCAACAUCUCACGACACGAGCUGACGACAGCCAUGCACCACCUGCACACAGGCCACAAGGGAACCGACAUCUCUGCCGGCGUCCUGUGCAUGUCAAACCCAGGUAAGGUUCUUCGCGUUGCAUCGAAUUAAUCCACAUGCUCCGCCGCUUGUGCGGGCCCCCGUCAAUUUCUUUGAGUUUUAGCCUUGCGGCCGUACUCCCCAGGCGGGGCACUUAAUGCGUUAGCUACGGCACGGAACGCUUUGGUAACGCCCCACACCUAGUGCCCAACGUUUACAGCGUGGACUAC